CCUAGUGCCGUCCCCGUGCCUGACUCGCGCAUGGCAGGUGGUGUCCUCCGACAGGCCAUGCACUCGAAUGAAGAUACCGGUCGGCGACGCUACUGCUUUGGGUAAUCUCAGGACCCGUCUUGAAACACGGACCAAGGAGUCUAACAUGUGCGCGAGUCAUUGGGACCGCAUGCCUAAAGGCGAAAUGAAAGUGAAGGUCGGCCUUAGCGCCGACCGAGGGAGGAUGGGCCGCGUUACGAUGCGGCUUCGCACUCCCGGGGCGUCUCGUUCUCAUUCGAGAAGAGGCGCACCCAGAGCGUACACGUUGGGACCCGAAAGAUGGUGAACUAUGCCUGGUCAGGACGAAGUCAGGGGAAACCCUGAUGGAGGUCCGUAGCGAUUCUGACGUGCAAAUCGA
rnacentral:rRNA from 1 species